CCUACGGGAGGCGGCAGUGGGGAAUAUUGGGCAAUGGGCGCAAGCCUGACCCAGCAACGCCGCGUGAAGGAAGAAGGCUUUCGGGUUGUAAACUUCUUUUAAGAGGGAAGUGCAGAAGACGGUACCUCUUGAAUAAGCUAUGGCUAACUACGUGCCAGCAGCCGCGGUAAUACGUAGGGGGGAAGUGUUGUCCGGAUUUACUGGGUGUAAAGGGCGUGUAGACAGGCUGACAAGUCAGAUGUGAAAUCCCGUGGCUCAACCACGGAACUGCAUUUGAAACUGUCGGUCUUGAGUAUCGGAGAGGCAGGCGGAAUUCCUGGUGUAGCGGUGAAAUGCGUAGAUAUUAGGAGGAACGCCAGUGGCGAAGGCAGCCUGCUGGACGACAACUGACGGUGAGGCGCGAAAGCGUGGGGAGCAAACAGGAUUAGAUACCCGAGUAGUC
rnacentral:rRNA from 1 species